UAGUAAAUGUGACACUUGAGCUGAACACCAGAUCGUUUCCCCUGUUGCUGUAGACCUGCUGUUGGGAUGGAAACCUGGCUGUGGAUUAUUAUUGCCGCACUUCUAUCUGAGUGUAAAUCAGAAGACGGAGUGAUCCAGCCCAGAGAGGAUGUCAUGGCUACUGAAGGACUCACAGUUAGUCUUCGCUGUACAUUUAAGACCACUGACACUAAUGUGUAUUUGUUCUGGUACAAACAACAAAUCAAUGACCUCCCCAGGUUCAUGCUACGACGCUUUACAAUUGGAGAAGGAGAUAAUGCUGCAGAGUUCCACAAAGACAGAUUUGAUGCCGAAAUCAAAAAUAAAUCAGUUCCUCUGAGCAUCCAGAACCUGCAGCUGUCAGACUCUGCUCUGUACUACUGUGCUCUGAGGCCCACAGUGACAGGAAACACAGACUCCCUGUACAAAAACAUGCUGAGCAGAAAACACACUUCCCUCUUCCCCCGAGUUCAGGGCAAAGACAUUUCUGACUAAAUCCAUCCAAAUAUGUAUUUCCUAAUUAA